rnacentral:rRNA from 1 species
GAUGAACGCUGGCGGCGUGCCUAAUACAUGCAAGUCGAGCGAACGGACGAGAAGCUUGCUUCUCUGAUGUUAGCGGCGGACGGGUGAGUAACACGUGGAUAACCUACCUAUAAGACUGGGAUAACUUCGGGAAACCGGAGCUAAUACCGGAUAAUAUUUUGAACCGCAUGGUUCAAAAGUGAAAGACGGUCUUGCUGUCACUUAUAGAGGGAUCCGCGCUGCAUUAGCGAGUUGGUAAGGUAACGGCUUACCAAGGCAACGAUGCAUAGCCGACCUGAGAGGGUGAUCGGCCACACUGGAACUGAGCCACGGUCCAGACUCCUGAGGGAGGCAGCAGUAGGGAAUCUUCCGCAAUGGGCGAAAGCCUGACGGAGCAACGCCGCGUGAGUGAUGAAGGUCUUCGGAUCGUAAAACUCUGUUAUUAGGGAAGAACAUAUGUGUAAGUAACUGUGCACAUCUUGACGGUAACUAAUCAGAAAGCCACGGCUAACUACGUG